UACAGAGGAGCCAAGCGUUGUCCGGAUUGACUGGGCGUAAAGCGCACGCAGGCGGACGCGCGCGUGGGGUGUGAAAUCUGGCCGCUUAACGGCCAGGCGCCAUCCCCAUACGGCGGGUCUGGAGCCUUGCAGAGGUCGGUGGAAUUGCCGGUGUAGUGGUGAAAUGCGUAGAGAUCGGGAAGAACAUCGGUGGCGAAGGCGGCCAGCUGGGCCGUUGCUGACGCUGAG
rnacentral:rRNA from 1 species